rnacentral:SRP_RNA from 1 species
AUAUGGGCUAGACAGGCGGGUUAGGCGCCGUUGUAACUCUAUAUACCAGAGUGUCGAAGUUCAUUGGGAGGCAUUGACUGUAUGCUAUAUCCCCAAUAAAUAAUGUCGAAGCGUUGCCUUCCUUGGCGGUUAAUUUUGAGAACCUGGUCAGGCGGGGAACCGAGCAGCCAUAAUCAUGUUUAUUCGUGCUUUGAAGUAGUGGCGUGGAGUUAUUUUUUGGUAAGAUAUAACUUUCAUAAUUUGUCCACCUUUGAAUGUGCCCACUU